UUUUUAUACGGUAGAAUAAGAUACUGGUAGAUAAUUAAAAAAAAAAAAAAAAAAAAAAGCACUAACAAUUCCAAGUAGUUUCAUAACUAGCGAAGUUUUCUCAAUACCUGGCAAAGUGACGCUUGAUUGACAUGGUUGAUGUUGCCUAGUGUUCACAAUUUAAAAAAAAAAAACACUUGGUAAAUUUCUCUUUUUGGCUUAUGCCUAUGUUGCUUGUUUGUCUUUGUUCCGAGCAUGCUUAGUUAAAUGGUAUUCAUCUGCUAGUUUAUGGAAAAGGAUGUUUGACUUGUGAGAUCUGCAGGGAGCCGUUGAGAGUUUAGUGGAACGCUGUGCAUACGUACAACUUGCAGAUGGAUCUCUUGUUCCCAUUGAUGAACCUUGCAGGCACUUACUACUUUUGAGACUCUUGGAGAUGAGCCCCAAAGGGUUACGGUGCUUGGGACUAGCAUAUAAAGAUGAUCUGGGAGAAUUUUCAGACUACUAUGCUGAGAAUCAUCCUGCUAUAAGAAGUUGCUUGAUCCAGCUUGCUACUCCUCCAUUGAAAGUGAUUUGGUUUUUGUAGAGUUGUUGGUCUAAGACUAAGGGACCCUCCACGUGAUGAAGUUCGCAUAGCAAUUGAGGAUUGUAGAGGUGCUGGUAUUAGAAUCAUGGUGAUAACUGGUGUCAAUAAGUCCACAGCAGAGGUUGAAUGAGUGGCUUUUAGUCAUCUUGGUCUCAGCUUCUGUGAUUCUAAUUGAUGAUAUUCUCAUACUCAUGGAAAGGAUUCGAAGAUACAGGACAAAGGAUAAGACAGAAUAAGCUGGUUUUAAACAACUUACAGGACAUGCUGUUGGAGGGUGCCGUUAAUUCAAAUUUUAUUCUUUGUUACAUUGCUUCAUUUUGUUUCUUUCACACUUCUUGUAAAUAGAAGAGCAUAACUCACCUUGUUCAUCGUAAUCAAGAGGAAUGACAAGUUACCAG